ACAGGGAUUGCCCUAGUAACGGCGAGUGAAGCGGCAACAGCUCAAAUUUGAAAUCUGGCUCUUUCAGGGUCCGAGUUGUAAUUUGCAGAGGGCGCUUUGGCGUUGGCAGCGGUCCAAGUUCCUUGGAACAGGACGUCACAGAGGGUGAGAAUCCCGUACGUGGUCGCUGGCCUUCGCCGUGUAAAGCCCCUUCGACGAGUCGAGUUGUUUGGGAAUGCAGCUCUAAAUGGGAGGUAAAUUUCUUCUAAAGCUAAAUACUGGCCAGAGACCGAUAGCGCACAAGUAGAGUGAUCGAAAGAUGAAAAGCACUUUGGAAAGAGAGUCAAAUAGCACGUGAAAUUGUUGAAAGGGAAGCGCUUGCAGCCAGACUUGCCUGUAGUUGCUCAUCCGGGCUCUUGCCCGGUGCACUCUUCUAUAGGCAGGCCAGCAUCAGUUUGGGCGGUUGGAUAAAGGUCUCUGUCACGUACCUCCCUUCGGGGAGGCCUUAUAGGGGAGACGACAUGCAACCAGCCUGGACUGAGGUCCGCGCAUUUGCUAGGAUGCUGGCGUAAUGGCUGUAAGCGGCCCGUCUUGAAACACGGACCAAGGAGUCUAACAUCUAUGCGAGUGUUUGGGUGUCAAGCCCGAGCGCGUAAUGAAAGUGAACGGAGGUGGGAACCCUUAAGGGUGCACCAUCGACCGAUCCUGAUGUCUUCGGAUGGAUUUGAGUAAGAGCAUGGCUGUUGGGACCCGAAAGAUGGUGAACUAUGCUUGAAUAGGGUGAAGCCAGAGGAAACUCUGGUGGAGGCUCGCAGCGGUUCUGACGUGCAAAUCGAUCGUCAAAUUUGGGCAUAGGGGCGAAAGACUAAUCGAAC
rnacentral:rRNA from 1 species